rnacentral:rRNA from 1 species
CGAGCGAACAGAUGAGAAGCUUGCUUCUCUGAUGUUAGCGGCGGACGGGUGAGUAACACGUGGGUAACCUACCUAUAAGACUGGGAUAACUCCGGGAAACCGGGGCUAAUACCGGAUAAUAUUUUGAACCGCAUGGUUCAAUAGUGAAAGACGGUUUCGGCUGUCACUUAUAGAUGGACCCGCGCCGUAUUAGCUAGUUGGUAAGGUAAUGGCUUACCAAGGCGACGAUACGUAGCCGACCUGAGAGGGUGAUCGGCCACACUGGAACUGAGACACGGUCCAGACUCCUACGGGAGGCAGCAGUAGGGAAUCUUCCGCAAUGGGCGAAAGCCUGACGGAGCAACGCCGCGUGAGUGAUGAAGGUCUUCGGAUCGUAAAACUCUGUUGUUAGGGAAGAACAAAUUUGUUAGUAACUGAACAAGUCUUGACGGUACCUAACCAGAAAGCCACGGCUAACUACGUGCCAGCAGCCGCGGUAAUACGUAGGUGGCAAGCGUUAUCCGGAAUUAUUGGGCGUAAAGCGCGCGUAGGCGGUUUCUUAAGUCUGAUGUGAAAGCCCACGGCUCAACCGUGGAGGGUCAUUGGAAACUGGGAAACUUGAGUGCAGAAGAGGAGAGUGGAAUUCCAUGUGUAGCGGUGAAAUGCGCAGAGAUAUGGAGGAACACCAGUGGCGAAGGCGGCUCUCUGGUCUGUAACUGACGCUGAUGUGCGAAAGCGUGGGGAUCAAACAGGAUUAGAUACCCUGGUAGUCCACGCCGUAAACGAUGAGUGCUAAGUGUUAGGGGGUUUCCGCCCCUUAGUGCUGCAGCUAACGCAUUAAGCACUCCGCCUGGGGAGUACGACCGCAAGGUUGAAACUCAAAGGAAUUGACGGGGACCCGCACAAGCGGUGGAGCAUGUGGUUUAAUUCGAAGCAACGCGAAGAACCUUACCAAAUCUUGACAUCCUUUGACCGCUCUAGAGAUAGAGUCUUCCCCUUCGGGGGACAAAGUGACAGGUGGUGCAUGGUUGUCGUCAGCUCGUGUCGUGAGAUGUUGGGUUAAGUCCCGCAACGAGCGCAACCCUUAAGCUUAGUUGCCAUCAUUAAGUUGGGCACUCUAGGUUGACUGCCGGUGACAAACCGGAGGAAGGUGGGGAUGACGUCAAAUCAUCAUGCCCCUUAUGAUUUGGGCUACACACGUGCUACAAUGGAUAAUACAAAGGGCAGCGAAUCCGCGAGGCCAAGCAAAUCCCAUAAAAUUAUUCUCAGUUCGGAUUGUAGUCUGCAACUCGACUACAUGAAGCUGGAAUCGCUAGUAAUCGUAGAUCAGCAUGCUACGGUGAAUACGUUCCCGGGUCUUGUACACACCGCCCGUCACACCACGAGAGUUUGUAACACCCGAAGCCGGUGGAGUAACCU